rnacentral:rRNA from 1 species
UACGUAGGGUGCAAGCGUUAAUCGGAAUUACUGGGCGUAAAGCGUGCGCAGGCGGUUGUGUAAGACAGAUGUGAAAUCCCCGGGCUCAACCUGGGAACUGCAUUUGUGACUGCACGGCUGGAGUGCGGCAGAGGGGGAUGGAAUUCCGCGUGUAGCAGUGAAAUGCGUAGAUAUGCGGAGGAACACCGGUGGCGAAGGCGGCGUUCUGGACUGUUUCUGACACUGAAAAACGAAAGCCAGGGGAGCAAACGGG